CAAUGUAAACUCGAACAAACCUUU
rnacentral:misc_RNA from 1 species